UACGGAGGGGGCAAGCGUUAUUCGGAUUUACUGGGCGUAAAGCGCACGUAGGCGCCAGGCAUGUCGACGGUGAAAGCCCUCGGCUCAACCGAGGAAUUGCCUUCGAAACUGCCUGGCUUGAGUCCGGGAGGGGGGAGCGGAAUUCCCAGUGUAGCGGUGAAAUGCGUAGAUACUGGGAGGAACACCGGUGGCGAAGGCGGCUCCCUGGACCGGUACUGACGCUGAGGUGCGAAAGCGUGGGUAGCAAACAGGAUUAGAUACCCGUCGUA
rnacentral:rRNA from 1 species